AACACUUACAAAUGUGUUUCUGACUAAAAAUGAAAACAGGCAUCUAAAAGCCAGUUUGGAAAGCUGAGAAAAUCAGCUUCACCGUCUUCCAAGUCUCAUACCAUUUUUCUCCUUCUCCUCUCUCUCUCCAUCAUGCAAAAGGGUACAGAUGGAAGACCAGGACUAUGGUUCCUUCCAAACUGCAGGACACAAGAACACUCCAACCCAGGAGUCUCUGCUAGCCAAGAGCUACCACCAUAGGCCAGACACUGGACAGGCAGGAGUUGAUCUUCACCUGGCAGUGCAUCUACAUUCUCAGGAAAUCAGCCCUCAAGUUUGUGGCACGUCAAACAGAAAAGGACAGAUCAGGUACUUUCAAUAAAAUAAGCCUUCCACGGCAAUUAGACUACAUACAGGCCAGAUUUGCUGCUAGAGACAUGGAGAAGUUACAGACAUUGUGACAAUCAGAGCUGGCCAACAAGUUGCAAUCCAUAACCUCCCUCUUCUCAUGGGUACCCAAACGGAGGCCUACAAUAUCAGUCAUUUCACUGUCUCGACAGAAAUUAUUUUCAGACUGUUAUCAUUAUUUUACUUCAAUUGUGCUCCAAUUCACUGGUUAUAUGAGAAAUAACACCAGUGGCAUUUAAUGUUCUCAGACUUCAGAAAUUAAAUUAUGCUUUAAACCAAGAGUCUGCAAACUUUCUUAAUGUAACCAGCAAGUUAAUAUUUUAGGUUGUAUGAUCUAUAGACUAUCAUAUAAUUUUCUCCUUAUAUUUAUUUAACAAUCCUCCUAAAAUGCAAUCCUAUUUUUAGUACUUAGGUGGUACAAAACUAAUAAACCAUCUUGGUUGUAAGCAGUAAUAAUUGUGAACUCAAAGUAUUGAGAAAGGCAGUUAUGCACAACUUGAAUCAGGCUUUCAUUUAAAACAAGUCACAGUACAGGGAAAGAUCAACACUGGAAGCCAGGAAACAGGACACAUGUCUGACUUCCCAGCUAUGUCUGAAGCACAAAUUGGAGAAAUGAGAUUCAGGCCAAUCUGUACAUAACUGUGAGACCUAACAUGAAAAAUAACUAAUUCAAAAUAAAUGGGGGCAUGGUUCAAGUGGUAAAGCAUCUGCCUGGCAAAAAAUAGUUAAUAAAUUAAUUAUUGAUGAAUUAGUGGGUUGAUCAACUAGUUACAACUCAACAAGCUUCCUUCUCCUUCUGAAGUAGAAACACUAGGUACUAGAAAAAGACAAAGAAUGUGCCCUAUUUUUCAUAGGGGAAAAAAAUUCUGCCCAGAUCUUUUUUCUUUGCCUCUAGGUGGUCAAGAAUAAAUGAUGCUUAACGAGAACUAAUGAAGUGUCACAAUAUACAUGUUUAUGGUGACAUUUAAAAGCUUAGAUUUGUGUAGCACAAGUUGCUAAAACACAGAUUUGUGCAACUUCUAAAACUAUAUACAAAUAUGUACAAAGUCAAAAGGCCAAAACUGGCUAGAAUAAAAUCCAGCAAUCCAGUCACAAGGGAUAUAUUAUUAAAAACAACUUUUUCUUUUAGUAUUUCUGUACUGUAAUAAGAAACUACCAGAAUUGGGGACAGAUAAUGGCAUGGAAAUGCCAUACUUGCUGGAAUUGGUGUUUCUGCCCCACAAGGCAGUACAGUUCUUUGUCCCUGAGAUAAUAGGCCUCUCUCAUGAGGUAGCUGCAUUGUUACCAGGCAACAAGAAAUAAAAUGUCAAGAUUAGCACUUUGCUUAAUAUAUUUUUAUCAUCGAUGAACCAUUUUUCUAUUUUGUUCUUCUUCUCCAUACAGAUGUCAUUAAGCCAAGAUUUACAUUUAGUAAUCUACAGGAGUAUGCCAAAAACUGUAAUUAAGUAAACACCAAGCAUUCACCAACUUUAUCGUUAUAGAUCUAUUAACAUUAUACUAAUUCCAUUAUUGAAGAUUUUUAAAAAUUUUUACCAAACUACUUAAUUACAAUAUUUCUUCAUUUAUAUCAAACAAAUCUAAAAUUCCAUUCAAAUUCAAGGAAAUCAAUGCUCUUUAAAUACUUCAAUACUUGGGAACAAAUAGCAUCAAUCAGUUCAUCUAGUGGAGUUAUAUGAUAUUCAAAUGUUUUCUACCAAAGCAUUUGAUACCUGGCCAAGCUUGAAGGAUAGAAUUUACAGAUACCCCUUUGGGUUUAGUAAUCAGUAGGAAAAACAAAGGAAAUAUAAGAGCUUAAAUGAAAUCUUAUAAAUGAAAAGUUGUAAAGGAAAAAACAUAAAGAUGCUAUACAAUUCAACAGGUUUAAAAACCAAUAAAUGAUACAUAUUUUCUUUUAUAUGUGGAAGUUAGCUCCAAUUUAUAAAUAUGUAUCUACACGUAAGCACAUAUACAAGCCCUA